UUCGCUCCUAAAAAUAAAGAGAAAAAAGAACAGUAUCCAGUGUGCGGUGUUUAAUGAACUUUUCAUAUUUGAUCACGUUUUCCUGCCUAACACCUGCACCUGGAAAGCUGAAGGGUUGUGCACAAGGACUUUCAUGCACUUUGAUCUUUGGGUGCUCCUGGUUUGGGCUUUUUUCAGGUUCAUACGCGCUGCAUCAUAAUUGGCUGUUGAAGACAACAAUGAAUUCCCAUCUCUCAGACUUACCUGAUCCUCCAUCCAAACUCUGAUGUUGGAAUCCAUGCUGUCCAGUCCAUGUGAAGAACACAGGAAAGCUUGUUGC